AGACCCUGGCCUCCAUCUUGAAAACGGAAAAUAAAAACAGCAGACCUAUGAAGGUCGAAGGGGAAGAAAAGCUGUAUCGAUUGUUGAGAUCUGGCGACUUGUUUAAAUUUCAUCAGCCUCACUUCUAUGAACUCUCAGGCCUCACGUGUACCAGCUCUCUGCUCUCCUUUGCCUUGGGACGUUCCAUCCCUGGAAGUUUCCCUGCCCACAUCUUUGUAGAGAGUCCAUUCUCCAAGCUUCAGUGUGUCAUCUGUGAGGACCGUGACCCACCUGGUACAUCGCCUCAGGGCAUUCAUUUCAGGCUCCUUCUAAAUGGCCAAGUACACUCAUGGCCUUGAAUCUUCAUCCACUCAGAGCUCCAUGUGUAUUCUUCCAAGCCAUUGCUCUAUACCCGGAACCGCCUUUUCUUGAACACACCACAGGAUACCUCACCCAUCUGUUCUGUGAAGCAUUCCAAUGACAAUAACCACCUACCAUUUUGUGCUAUUAUACAGUUAUCUCCUUCCCCUUCAUCCUGUUGGUAUUGUGUAUAUUACUUAAGAUGAGCACUCUAGUUCUUUAUUUGCUUGUAAAUUAUAAGUGGUGGUGUGGUUUAUAAACUCAUGAAAAUUAUAUUUCACUUGGGAUGAAACUGGUAGAACCAUUUAUAAUAACAUCAUGUUGUUAUGUGGUAUAUAUAUUAUAUAUAGGUAUAUAUAUACACCAAUAUGAAGAGUGAAUUACAUUGUAGGUAGGGUAAUAGAUUAGCUCAAUUGUUUAGUAUAACGUCAAGCUAUUUGUGGUUCAGGUGUGAGCCCCAUAGGACUAGUUACCUUACUAUUUGCUAUAGUUGAAAACUAUAGCUCUACAAUAAGCGGCUGUUUUAAGAUGAAGAUGGUGUUACACGUAGUAUGGCAGAGACAGAGUGAUAUACUCUAAGGAACAUUGUUCAGCUAAUCAGACCUGGGUUCAAAUUCCAUCACCACUGUUUACUUGCUGUGUGCUUCCAAACAAACCCUGUAAAUCUGUUUUCUAAAAUAAAAAGUUAUGAACACAUAAUCUCAUGUUUUGGGAUUGCUAUGAAGGUUAAAUAAAGUAAGGAAUAUUCGGGACAAUCUAUCACAGGGCCUGACACAAACUAGUUCAACAUAUGUCUUUGUCUGUAAUCUAAAUCUCUACCAAGAAAUUUAAAAACUCGAAUUGCUCCAUGUGAAUUUUACCCCAAGCUCUUGGUUUCAACAUGCUGAAAAAUUAACUCAUUUUCCUCCCAAACCUCUUUCUCCUGUAUUCUGUCAUUGGAUGAAUGGCAUUUCUACUCACACAUUACAUAUCCAACCAAGCAUUAAUACCAAAUGGUUUUUGCCUCUCAUA
rnacentral:lncRNA from 1 species